GAGUGACUGUUGCUGGGUUUGCUUCUGAGAGGAGGUGGAAUAAGGGUUUAAAAGCAGGAAGUUCCAGACAGUUGCUGAGCCACUCUGGGAGAGAGCAGACAGCAGCUCUACAGCUCCCAAGAGGGACUCCUGGAGAGCUUCAGGGAAACUACUCUCAAGAAUGUCAUUCCCCAAUCACCAGCACUUACAGAUCCCAAGGAGAACAACCAUUAAAUGGGAGGAGCAGCUGGAAAAGGUGUGGUGUCAGAUGGCUGCAGAGCAGAUUCACAGGAUGAAGACGGAGGAAAUGGAGCUCAUCAG